rnacentral:rRNA from 1 species
AUACGAAGGGAGCUAGCGUUGUUCGGAAUUACUGGGCGUAAAGCGCACGUAGGCGGAUUGAUUAGUUAGGGGUGAAAUCCCAGGGCUUAACCCUGGAACUGCCUCUAAUACUGUCAGUCUAGAGAUCGAGAGAGGUGAGUGGAAUUCCGAGUGUAGAGGUGAAAUUCGUAGAUAUUCGGAGGAACACCAGUGGCGAAGGCGGCUCACUGGCUCGAUACUGACGCUGAGGUGCGAAAGCGUGGGGAGCAAACAGGAUUAGAAACCCUUGUAGUCC